AUUUUUCUACAGGUUAUAGCAC
rnacentral:snRNA from 1 species